CUCAGCUCACUUCUCACUCCUCAGAAAGUCAAUUCCGAUUUAGGGCGAUAGUUUCACAAAUUUCGGGUAAACGAAGACCAAAUAUAGAAAGAGAUCGGUUGUUGUUGCAAUAGUUUCACAAAUUCAGAAAGAUAUCGGCUGCUGUUUCAGAAGCUUGCUGGGACUUCAAAGAGAUCGGCUGUUAAUCAAAAUUCAAAGGUGUUUCCUGAAAUAUUGGUUGUUCAGGUGUUCUUGGCAUUGGCAGUGUGAAAUGUUGGAUGUUCAGAUGAAGGUUGGCUUGAGAUAUGAUACUUGAUAAAGCAAUAACUAAAUAUAUAGCGGAUCAGAGGGAGGCGCCGAGUUGUACAGGUUAAGUUGCCGACCGGGAGAAGUUGGACUUUGUGUUGGGCUGUUAUCAAUUGUUGGAAAGUGACAUUGUCGGGAGAGGAACCAGAGUAGGGAAUAUUUUCUUAGGAAUGAUAAGGCACAAGUUGAGUAGAUACCGGAGGAAAUAGUGACGUAAAAGUUGCAACAGAAUUGGAGAAGACAAUCACGAGGACUUAUAAAUAUUUUGGAGAAUGGCCAAUGGGUGUUUAAGGAUAAAGAAGAA